rnacentral:ncRNA from 1 species
AUGGGGUGUCCGCCAGCUGGCGGACUGAGAUUAUACUCAAAGAACCUGCUCCGGGUAAUGCCGGCGAAGGGAGUGCAA